rnacentral:rRNA from 1 species
GAUGAACGCUGGCGGCGUGCCUAAUACAUGCAAGUCGAGCGAACGGACGAGAAGCUUGCUUCUCUGAUGUUAGCGGCGGACGGGUGAGUAACACGUGGAUAACCUACCUAUAAGACUGGGAUAACUUCGGGAAACCGGAGCUAGUACCGGAUGAUAUUUUGAACCGCAUGGUUCAAAAGUGAAAGACGGUCUUGCUGUCACUUAUAGAUGGAUCCGCGCUGCAUUAGCUAGUUGGUAAGGUAACGGCUUACCAAGGCAACGAUGCAUAGCCGACCUGAGAGGGUGAUCGGCCACACUGGAACUGAGACACGGUCCAGACUCCUACGGGAGGCAGCAGUAGGGAAUCUUCCGCAAUGGGCGAAAGCCUGACGGAGCAACGCCGCGUGAGUGAUGAAGGUCUUCGGAUCGUAAAACUCUGUUAUUAGGGAAGAACAUAUGUGUAAGUAACUGUGCACAUCUUGACGGUACCUAAUCAGAAAGCCACGGCUAACUACGUG